UACGUAGGGGGCGAGCGUUAAUCGGAAUUACUGGGCGUAAAGCGUGCGCAGGCGGUUUUGUAAGUCUGUCGUGAAAGCCCCGGGCUCAACCUGGGAAUUGCGAUGGAGACUGCAAGGCUUGAAUCUGGCAGAGGGGGGUAGAAUUCCACGUGUAGCAGUGAAAUGCGUAGAGAUGUGGAGGAACACCGAUGGCGAAGGCAGCCCCCUGGGUCAAGAUUGACGCUCAUGCACGAAAGCGUGGGGAGCAAACAGG
rnacentral:rRNA from 1 species